AGCAUAUGAUAUCAUUCAAAUCCAUUUUUUCCUAAGCACAGAGCAGGAUCUCUCAAUGACACCCCCAGUCAGCUCCUUCAGGGCUGUAACGAGGUUCUUGCUGUAUUUCAGCCGUGCCUUCUCCUUGUCACUUUCAACUUUUCAAGGCUACAUCUGUGAUACCUAAAGGUUUUGAUGGCCAAUAGAGGGAUCUGUUAACAAGAUAUUCAUUAAUUUUAUAAACAGUUGAAGUUUGCAGAGACUGUAGUUUUUUGGUUCGUCUUCAUUUUGAAGUGACUUGAAGAUCUACUUAUCUUGGCUGCCCCUCAUUGUGCAUGACCUGGAGAAAAUGGAAUCUUCCCAGGGCUUUGGCAAAUACCUUGUAUGACCUGCACAGAUCCUCACCUAAUCCUUCCGUCUCUUCUUCCUUCUUGAGGAGCUGUCCCUGAUUCUCUGCCAUAGGCACAACCACCUACUUAUUGAGAGUGAAGCUUUGAUCCUGAAAUACAAGCAUUAUCAUAAUGAAGCUGAAGCUGCCUUGGGCAAGAUCACAGCUCACUAUGAAUUUGGGGAAAUAAAAAUCUGCCAAGGAAGAGAUCUCGACAAACACUGGAGACUCAUCAACCGGAGUGAAUUCCCUCAGUGAAAUCGCUAUCCUCUGCCAAGAAUCAAAGGUCAUCCCAGUGGAGUGCCGUCUUCGUGUUCAGCCGCUACGGAGUGUCUGGAACAGAGUGAGAACAAAAAUUAUCCCAGUUUGGUGCCCCCUGACUCUUUCGGGAAGAAUCCCAACAAGAUUGCCACUGGGAGUUCAGAGAACACAUUUGAAGACUGGGGAAGGGCCAGGCUAAACAAGGGAGAAUAGUGAUGUAAAGACAAUAAGAUAAAGGAAAUAAAUGACUCAAAGACAA